rnacentral:rRNA from 1 species
UACGUAGGUGACAAGCGUUGUCCGGAUUUACUGGGCGUAAAGAGCGCGCAGGCGGUCGAUCAAGUCGAGUGUGAAAGCCCCCGGCUCAACUGGGGAGGGUCAUUCGAUACUGAUCGACUCGAAGGCAGGAGAGGGUAGUGGAAUUCCCGGUGUAGUGGUGAAAUGCGUAGAUAUCGGGAGGAACACCAGUGGCGAAGGCGGUUCUCUGGGCCUGUACUGACGCUGAGGAACGAAAGCGUGGGGAGCAAACAGG